rnacentral:ncRNA from 1 species
AUAUAUAUUAUAUAAAUUUGAUUCUAGUUUAAGAAAUUUUUAAUAGCUUUAAAUUUUGAUGAGUUUAAUAUGUGAGUUUUUGCGCGAUAUUUUUAUUUCUUUAAAAAGGGAAUAAAUUAAUAUAUAUUCGCAGUUUUUAAUUUUAUUUAUUUAAUAAUUUAAGAAAUAGUUAAUUAUAAGAUGACUAGCAAAAAUUGUGCCAGCAGCUGCGGUUAUACAAUUAGUCAAAGUUAUUUUUAUUAGACUUCCAUUAAUUUAUAUUUUUAGAAUAUAAUAUUCUUAUUUUUAAGUGAAAUUUAAAUUUGGAUAUAAUAUUUUGGUUUUAUAUUAUGGGAAAUUCUCUUUAUUAAACUAGGAUUAGAUACCCUAUUAUAAGGAAUGUAAAUUUUUGUCUUAGUAUUAUAAGUUAUGAUCUUUAAAUUGAAAGAAUUUGACGGUAAUUUUAAUCAUUUUAGAGGAACCUGUUCUGUAAUUGAUAAUCCACGAUGAAUUUUACCUUUAUUAUUGUUUGUAUAUCUCUGUCUGAAUGAAUGUUUUAUUAGAAUAUUUUCUUUAAUUUUUAUUGAAAUUUAUGUCAGGUCAAGGUGCAACUAUAUAAAGGUUUGAAAUGGGUUACAUUUAAUAUUAGAUAUAAUUUAUUGGAUUAAAUCAUGAAUUUUUUGAUUUAUAAAAUAGGAUUUAAUUGUAAUGUUUAAUAUAUAUUAUUCAUGAUAUAUGUUCUUGAUUAAGUACAUAUCGCCCGUCACUCUCAUUAAUAAGAUGGGAUAAGUCGUAACAAAGUAGUCCUAUCGGAAGAUGGGGCUAGUAAUAUA